CACCUAGGGGUGGCAGCAGUAGAGAAUGUUGGCAAUUGGGGGAAACCCUGACGGUGCGACGCCGCGUGGAGGAUGAAGGUUUUCGGAUUGUAAACUCCUGUCUCCACAGAAAAAUACUUACACUUUAAUAAAUUGUAAGUUUGAUGGUAUGAAAGAGGAAGGGACGGCUAACUCUCUGCCAGCAGCCGCGGUAAUACAGAGGUCCCAAGCGUUGUUCGGAAUUACUGGGCGUAAAGGGUGCGUAGGAGGCAUUGUAAGUCAAAUGUGAAAUCUCUCUGCUUAACAGAGAAACUGCAUUCGAUACUACUUUGCUAGAGGAUCGGAGAGGAGAAUGGAAUUCCUGGUGUAGCGGUGAAAUGCGUAGAUAUCAGGAGGAACACCGAUGGCGAAGGCAAUUCUCUGGAAGAUACCUGACUCUGAAGCACGAAGGCUAGGGGAGCAAACAGGAUUAGAUACCCUGGUAGUCCUAGCAGUAAACGUUGUUCACUUGGUGUUGGAGGAUUCGACCCCUCCAGUGCCGUAGCUAACGCGAUA
rnacentral:rRNA from 1 species